AGGCAUUGGCAAAGAGAGGAGCCAAGAAGCAGAGAUUGAUGUGGGCAUCAACUAAUGUAAAAAAUCCAGCCUACCCAGAUACUUGUUAUGUUGAUCUUCUCAUUGGACCAGAAACAAUAUCAACCAUACCAGAAGAAGCUCUAGCGGCAUUCAUGGACCAUGGCAUUGUUUGAAGAACUUUGGAUUCAAAUAUGGAGGAGGCUGAGAGUGUUUAUAAGUGAAUUGAGAAAUUGGGGAUCAAUUGGAAGAGCAUUGGAUGGCAGGUUGAGAACCAAGUGUUGGAUUUGUUCAAGAAAAGUUAUGAUACUGUUCUUUACAGCCUGCAGCACAAGGCACUCAUUUAUUAGAUGCCCCCAUUGUGCAGUGUGCACGAUGUUCUAUGGAAAAUGUAAGAAUGAAGAAGUAAGAACUUGAAUUUAGGAUUAUAUGAAGUUAAAAUGGAGUUGUUCUUUUUCUUUAUUUUAAUUUCCUAAGAAUUUUUAAGCUUAGGAUGUGAGAUUUUGCACAUUAAUCUCAAUGAUGAGUUGGUCUUUAUUAUUUUA